UAUUUUCUAGGGUGCAAUAAUCUAAUGUGAUGUGGGUUUUGGAAUGACAGACAGACAAAGCUUCAAUGCUGGAUGAGAUCAUCGAUUAUGUCAAAUUCCUCCAGCUCCAAGUCAAGGUUCUGAGCAUGAGCAGGUUGGGCGGUGCAGCUGCUGUUGCUCCUCUUGUUGCU